GCCUUCGUGGUGUAGUGGUCAGCAUGCUCGACGCGUAACCGAGAGGUCCGUGGUUCGAUUCCCGGCGAAGGUC
rnacentral:tRNA from 1 species